CUAUGAUUCAAUAAAAUUUUUCAUGGCACACUUAUCAGUUAAUUUUCAAUAAUUAUUUCAGCAUUUUUGAGAUUAUGAAAACAUUUUUGCUAUUUUUUAACAAUUUCUUAUUCAUAGAUAAAUGUAUUGGCUUUUCUUUUUAACUGUACAAUUCAACCAGAAGUAUCAAGUACAGAACCUUUUCUAAAAGAGAACUAUCCUGAGGUGAUCCUUUAGGAAGGUUAUUUUUUUUCCAAAUAAAUGGGAAAAACAUGAUAGAUUAAAUAUAAUCUUAAAUAAAUAAUAUUAAACAAAUGUUAUUAAAGAAAAUAUGUAAUGCAUGAGUUAUUAUGUUAUUAAUUAUUUUACCUUAAUGGUAACAUAUAUUGUUGACAAAGCAAAACUUUUAACUGUACUCUGCUCAACAUUUUUUUUCAUCAAGUUAUGUUGCAUACGGAUACACAGAUAUACAUUAAAUUUACAACUUUUUUUUUCCAAACUUCUACCUACAAUGGUAGCUCACGAAUGUGCAAAGUCGGUCUUUUUAUUAUAUAGGUUUUUUAUUAUUAGCAAAUAAUUUUAGUUUGAAGGAAAGAGAUAUUGCCGAAUUAUGUUUUAGUUUUCAUAGAA